CCUUUCUUCCCGGCAGCCCAUGGCAGCGAGCCGCCUCCGGCCCCCUCCCUGCUCCAUUGCAUUUGUUCAGCUUAGGGGAUCAAACUGGGUGACAUUUGGAGUUGGGAUAUUUAAAAUGCAAAUCUCCCCUGGAUAGAUAAGUGGAAUUUACUCCCUCUUAUGAAGGGAACCUCUGGGGAGAGCCGAGCGCUGCAGCCGGCCCGCUCUGCAUGCGAAAUCCAGCUGGAGGGGGGGGAUCACUGCCUCCCCUCCAGCCCAGCACUUCCGGGCAAACACUCCUGCGACAACCAUCCUCAUCACCAUGAAGGCUUCCGAAUUGCCCACAAACACAGCGCGGAGGACCUGCAUCUCACUGCCUGGUCAGGGGCACCUUACUCUCUGCAGCCAGCCCUGUGCAAUGUGCCUUGGGCCACCAGGAGAAGGGAGAGCAAAACCAAAUGUCACCUGGAGAAGUUCCUGCUGCUGCACCCCCAGGGGCUGGAACUGCUGCCCCAGGAUGGGGAUUAGCACAUCACUGAGAAAGCCACCGUGGCUGAUGGUCCCUGGGGGGAUCAGACAGAUGAUCAAUGCUGGGAUUAGCUUGUACGGUGGCUGCAGUGACAGCAUCGACCUGGAGCAGCAGCUUCACCCUGCCUGUGCUAGCACUGAGCCAACCCAGCCCCAUGGCCUCCAGACUGGUGCAUGCACUGAGUAGUGUCAGGCCUCUGCCAGCCCCAUGAGGGGCUCGGGGACACUGACAGCAGACAGCAACUUCCACAGAUGUUCUGCAUUUUGGAUUUCUCCCCUUUCCAGCCUCAUUAGUAUUGAAAUUAAAAGCAAGUGUUUGUGAAUUGGUAGCUGUUCUCCAAGACCCUAAUUAGCAAAUCUCUUUAUCCCCCACGGCUGCAAUCUAAUAAUCAAAAAAAAAACCAACCCCAACACCCAAACAAGCCCCAAACCUUGUUUGAUGGAUAAGGAAUGCUACUGGAACAGUCAGAAACGGCUCUUCCUGCUUAGUAUGUGAUUUCCUUGGCCAGCACAAAAGCCCUUUCUGGUCUUGAAAUACCUGUUCCAGAGAUCAAAGGUGCAAAACCACCAAAGGAGACUCCAAGUCAUCUGUGUACAAGUGUCCAGACUCACCAAGCAGCUGGUUUUAUACUUAGGAACACAGAAUCCAUCAGGAGUACAGCCAGCAGCACGGUGUUGGGCUGGGACUGAGGGCCCCAGCAGCAGCACAGGGUGGAAUAAGGACCAAAAGGAACAAAAUUCCUCAUUCCCAAGGAUCAAGAUGAGAAAUAGUCCUAGUGGUUUAUUUUUGUCUUCAUUGCUCUUCUGUUUCUGGGGCACAAACAUGUACUGAGCAAUGUUCAGAGCCUCAGUGUGGUGGCUGUUCCACUCCGGCCCCUCGGCAAGAUUUGCCCUGCUUUUACAUUGAAGGUGGAUAUGGAAAGGAACAUCACCUGCCCUUCCUCGUGCUGCUGAGUUUCCAGGCUGGGAAAUUUAACAUGAAAACUGGCUGCAGCCAUCUUACAGGGCAGAAAGGGAGCAUGAGAGCUGUGCAGGAUUUGGGGCUUGUAUGUCCCAAAAGAUUCAUUAGGGAAGGAAUGGUAACACAAGGCUGAAGGCGGCUGGACAGGAAUGUUUAGUUGGCUACAUGACAAAAAAGAAAAAAGAAAAAAAGGAAGAAAAAAAGAAAGGUCAAAGCUUUUGUCAAAACCCACCAGAGUUUUGGGAAUGCCAAUCUUGGUAUCUGGAGCUGUGUCCUACCCAAAUCAUUAGUGUCUCUGCCUUGGGAAGGAUGAGGGCUGCAGAGCUCUUCCAGCAGCACUGUCCUCCCUCCCUACAUCCAAAGCCAUCCCACUGGCUGUGUCUAUGCUGGCUCCUCUUCUGCUGUCAUGGAAGCUGUUACAGGGCAGCUGCUUGUGCCCUGCUGUGCAAAGCUCAGCUCAGUUACUUGCUAGGUCCUGGCUGGCUGCUCAUGACCAGUGAGACACUUGUCAUUCUGGUACUGGAGGCUAAACCCAUCCUUAGUGAUAAGUGGAGUCUAAACCACAUCCCAGCCAGGACUGCAAGAAAAGCAAAGAGGUGCUCCAUCCCCCCUAUGUCUUCAUUUGCACCUUUGGGCAUGGCCAGGGACAAUUUCAUUUUAACCUAUGUCACCUGGAGCAAACAUCUAGUUCUGGUCUUUCUGCCUUGUGUUUCUGCAUUGUCUCUCAACUUACCAGACAGCCCUUGUCCUUCAAAGCCCAACUUGAAAAUACCCCAUGCUAUUGCAUGGGACCACCACCUUCAAGCUGCAUCCUGAGAAAACUGAUGGUUGUGCUGCCCCUCUGAUAUGAUGGAGCAGCCGGUCCUUGUCAUCACAUCUUGGCCAUCCUGUUCCUCCGCCUCUUCAAAGAGAAGUGACAUCCCUUGGCAUCUCUGACUCUGCUGCCUGCACAUUACCUCCUGUUCCCAGCCCUCUUCGUGGGAAUUGGUGGCUUUGACUCUUGCCCCAUUGCUGAGGCCAGUGUGACUUGGCACAGGGAUCCAGGAGCAGAAAUUGAUGGAGUGGUGCAGGAUAGAAGACGUGUUCCAUCUGCCUGGGAUCAGAAGAAACAUCCACAGAGGCCAAAGGCUGCUGCAGCAGACAGGAGUCUUUCACUUUUCUGCCAAUACAAGUGUUUUUCCAAGGCAUAACUGUUGCCAGAAAUCUAUGGAGUCAAGACCUGCUAUUUCUUCACUUCUAAACAAAACGAACCAUAAUUUGUUUUCUGCCAGGGAGAAAAGCUCUUGUCUCAGGGAAUAAAGUCAGACAGAAAGACA